GUGGUCCUACGGGGGGCAGCAGUGGGGAAUAUUGCACAAUGGGGGAAACCCUGAUGCAGCGACGCCGCGUGAGUGAAGAAGUAUUUCGGUAUGUAAAGCUCUAUCAGCAGGGAAGAAAGAAAUGACGGUACCUGACUAAGAGGCCCCGGCUAACUACGUGCCAGCAGCCGCGGUAAUACGUAGGGGGCAAGCGUUAUCCGGAUUUACUGGGUGUAAAGGGAGCGUAGACGGCAAUGCAAGUCUGGAGUGAAAGGCGGGGGCCCAACCCCCGGACUGCUCUGGAAACUGUAUAGCUGGAGUGCAGG
rnacentral:rRNA from 1 species